rnacentral:rRNA from 1 species
UACAGAGGGGGCAAGCGUUGUUCGGAAUUACUGGGCGUAAAGGGCGCGUAGGCGGCCUGUUAAGUCGAACGUGAAAUCCCUGGGCUCAACCCAGGAACUGCGUCCGAGACUGGCAGGCUUGAAUCCGGGAGAGGGAUGUGGAAUUCCAGGUGUAGCGGUGAAAUGCGUAGAUAUCUGGAGGAACACCGGUGGCGAAGGCGGCUCACUGGCCCGGUACUGACGCUGAGGUGCGAAAGCGUGGGGAGCAAACAGG